GCGCUUGCUUCGGCAGCACGUAUACUAAAAUUGGAAUGAUACAGAGAUGAGUAUGGCCCCUGUGCAAGGAUGACAUGAAAACCUGUGAAGCCUUCCAUAUUUUU